rnacentral:rRNA from 1 species
CAGUCGCCGCGGUAAUACAGAGGGUGCGAGCGUUAAUCGGAUUUACUGGGCGUAAAGCGUGCGUAGGCGGCUUUUUAAGUCGGAUGUGAAAUCCCUGAGCUUAACUUAGGAAUUGCAUUCGAUACUGGGAAGCUAGAGUAUGGGAGAGGAUGGUAGAAUUCCAGGUGUAGCGGUGAAAUGCGUAGAGAUCUGGAGGAAUACCGAUGGCGAAGGCAGCCAUCUGGCCUAAUACUGACGCUGAGGUACGAAAGCAUGGGGAGCAAACAGGAUUAGAUACCCGAGUAGUCCCUGUCUCUUAUAA